rfam:Arsenicibacter rosenii strain SM-1 scaffold27, whole genome shotgun sequence.
CGGGAUGUAGCACAGCCAGGUAGUGUACUUGUAUGGGGUGCAAGGGGUCGUGGGUUCGAAUCCCGCCAUCCCGA